GGCAGGAUUCUAAGAUAUUCCCCCAAGAUUCCCGUCCCCUAGUGUACAUGCCUUGUCUAAACCCAGGAUGGUAGGUAUGAUGGGACAGCCGCUCCCAAGAUUAGACUGUGUUAAAUAGUACUGCUGGCUUUAAGAGAAAUUAUCCUGAGUGGACCUGACCUAAUCAGAUCAUUACAGGAUGAGAAGGAUUUGACACAAAGGAGAUCCUCUCGUGCUGGCUUUGAAGAUGCAAAGGGCUACUUGACAAAGAAUGUGGCCUCUAGGGGCCAAGAGCAGUCACCAACUAAUAGCAAGGAAAAGGGACCUCAAUCUGACAACCAAUUCAAAGGAACUGAAUUCUGCCACAGCCAUAGGAGCUUGGAAAAGGGCCCCAAGCUCCAGAUGAGAAGGCACAAACUUAUUUCCAUUAACCUUAUCCCAAUGGUAUCUCUACUAGAGUCCUUUCACUACCAUGGGAAUAUGCCCUAUUUUUGCCAACUCUACACCUGAAGUAUCAUUUCUUUUCUCCAUACUUUCUAUACCUGGACUUCCAGUUCAAAGUCUGUAAUAAUCUCUUUAUCUCCCAAAUUAUAAAGGAAAAGAUUAUAUAGUCA